CGCGCCGGCUGGAGUCACGUCCA
rnacentral:misc_RNA from 1 species